GAUGAACGCUGGCGGCGUGCCUAAUACAUGCAAGUCGAACGAGGUGCCUUUGUAGCAAUACGAGGGUAUCCUAGCGGCGAACGGGUGAGUAACGCGUUGGUGACCUGCCCCGAAGUGUGGGAUAACAGUCCGAAAGGACUGCUAAUACCGCAUGCUGACAUCGGGUUUAGAAACCGAUUUCCAAAGCAGCAAUGCGCUUUGGGAGGGACCUGCGUCCCAUCAGCUAGUUGGUAGGGUAACGGCCUACCAAGGCUACGACGGGUAGGGGACCUGAGAGGGUGACCCCCCACAAUGGAACUGAAAUACGGUCCAUACACCUACGGGUGGCAGCAGUAGGGAAUAUUGCACAAUGGGCGAAAGCCUGAUGCAGCAACGCCGCGUGCACGAUGAAGGUCUUCGGAUCGUAAAGUGCUUUUCUGGGAGAUGAGAAAGGACAGUAUCCCAGGAAUAAGUCUCGGCUAACUACGUGCCAGCAGCCGCCGUAACAC
rnacentral:rRNA from 1 species